AUGGUCCAGAUGGCGACUAAAAUGGUCGCCAGUGCGACUAACUUUUUAAUUUUGCGACCAUGUUUUUUUCUGCCAGUCGCCAGUGGCCACCGUUACCCACAAACAAAAUGUAAAAACAAAUGAAUAGAAAUGAGCAUCCGUCUUGUUGUGUUAGGCCACUGAACGCUCAUCUCCUACUGCGCAUGCGUCGACCUGCCCUAUCGCGUGCACUCCUGUAUGGCUUCCAAUAAAGAAACUCUGCACUCUUGUAUUGCGGUGGUCGAAGCGUCGGCUGUAUAGAUGAACAGAAACAGCUUAAACGUCACGUUUAUCGGGUUUAAAAAGUUGGAAGUGUUAACUUUAUUAAAGGUGUUUCAUUUAGUUUGAUGUGGUUUAGUUCGUUGGAAUUUGAAUUGAUCCGUCAUAUGUAGGCUAGUUAACUGCAUAGCUAACUAACGUUAGCCAGCUGAGAAGAAAACGAAAUGCGCAAACGAAAAAUAUCACUUUUUCUCAUUCCAAACCCUGCCUCCUCUACACCAGAUGCUGACGAUGUUGAGACCAACUCGACCAGUGACAGUUCUCAAGUGACAUUUGAGUCAUCCUGGCCCGUUUCAGUCGGUGUGCAAUCUUUUACACCUCGUCUGGUUAUGACAAUGGGAAAAUGUACUGCACCUUUUGUGCUAAAGUAGGACAAGAUAUUGCUUUUAAAACAGAGUUCAUUACCGGUUCGAGUCAUUUUAAUCACACAGGUUCUGAAGAAGAUUUAAUCAAGGGCAUGACUGUCGGAGUCAUUACAGUUCUGGAUGAUGUGAUGAACCCUAUUCCGUGUGACUGCAGUGAUGUAGCCCUUGUCCCAAACAUGACACAUGGGUUACAAUUUUAUGUCGAAAAUGUGUUUUGAAAAUGAGGACACAAGUGGUGUUUCCUUGUAUUUGUCAAACCCCCC